rnacentral:rRNA from 1 species
UCUUACUAAGGGAUAGCCCAGAGAAAUUUGGAUUAAUAUCUUAUAGUAUGUUAACUUGGCAUCAAGAUGACAUUAAAGGUUACGGUAAGAGAUGACUAUGCGUCCUAUUAGCUAGAUGGUGUGGUAACGGCACACCAUGGCAACGAUAGGUAGGGGCCCUGAGAGGGGGAUCCCCCACACUGGUACUGAGACACGGACCAGACUCCUACGGGAGGCAGCAGUGAGGAAUAUUGGACAAUGGAGGCAACUCUGAUCCAGCCAUGCCGCGUGCAGGAAGACUGCCCUAUGGGUUGUAAACUGCUUUUAUACAGGAAGAAACACUCUCACGUGUGAGAGCUUGACGGUACUGUAAGAAUAAGGAUCGGCUAACUCCGUGCCAGCAGCCGCGGUAAUACGGAGGAUCCAAGCGUUAUCCGGAAUCAUUGGGUUUAAAGGGUCCGUAGGUGGAUAAUUAAGUCAGAGGUGAAAUCCUGCAGCUCAACUGUAGAAUUGCCUUUGAUACUGGUUGUCUUGAGUUAUUAUGAAGUAGUUAGAAUAUGUAGUGUAGCGGUGAAAUGCAUAGAUAUUACAUAGAAUACCAAUUGCGAAGGCAGAUUACUAAUAAUAUACUGACACUGAUGGACGAAAGCGUGGGGAGCGAACAGGAUUAGAUACCCUGGUAGUCCACGCCGUAAACGAUGGUCACUAGCUGUUCGAACUUCGGUUUGAGUGGCUAAGCGAAAGUGAUAAGUGACCCACCUGGGGAGUACGUUCGCAAGAAUGAAACUCAAAGGAAUUGACGGGGGCCCGCACAAGCGGUGGAGCAUGUGGUUUAAUUCGAUGAUACGCGAGGAACCUUACCAGGGCUUAAAUGUAAAUUGACAGGUUUAGAAAUAGACUUUUCUUCGGACAAUUUACAAGGUGCUGCAUGGUUGUCGUCAGCUCGUGCCGUGAGGUGUCAGGUUAAGUCCUAUAACGAGCGCAACCCCUGUUGUUAGUUGCCAGCGAGUCAUGUCGGGAACUCUAACAAGACUGCCAGUGCAAACUGUGAGGAAGGUGGGGAUGACGUCAAAUCAUCACGGCCCUUACGUCCUGGGCUACACACGUGCUACAAUGGUAGGGACAGAGAGCAGCCACUGGGUGACCAGGAGCGAAUCUAUAAACCCUAUCACAGUUCGGAUCGGAGUCUGCAACUCGACUCC